UGGGGAAUUUUGGGCAAUGGGCGAAAGCCUGACCCAGCAACGCCGCGUGAAGGAUGAAGUAUUUCGGUAUGUAAACUUCGAAAGAAUAGGAAGAAUAAAUGACGGUACUAUUUAUAAGGUCCGGCUAACUACGUGCCAGCAGCCGCGGUAAUACGUAGGGACCAAGCGUUGUUCGGAUUUACUGGGCGUAAAGGGCGCGUAGGCGGCAUGACAAGUCACUUGUGAAAUCUCUGGGCUUAACCCAGAACGGCCAAGUGAUACUGUCGCGCUAGAGUGCAGAAGGGGCAAUCGGAAUUCUUGGUGUAGCGGUGAAAUGCGUAGAUAUCAAGAGGAACACCUGAGGUGAAGACGGGUUGCUGGGCUGACACUGACGCUGAGGCGCGAAAGCCAGGGGAGCAAACGGGAUUAGAUACCCACGUAGUCCCUGAGCGGGCUGGCAAGGCGCAU
rnacentral:rRNA from 1 species